rnacentral:rRNA from 1 species
GGCAUCCUAGGGAGGCAGCAGUGGGGGAUAUUGCACAAUGGGGGGAACCCUGAUGCAGCGACGCCGCGUGGGUGAAGGAGCGUUUCGGCGCGUAAAGCCCUAUCGGCAGGGAAGAAGGAGGACGGUACCUGACUAAGAAGCCCCGGCUAACUACGUGCCAGCAGCCGCGGUAAUACGUAGGGGGCAAGCGUUAUCCGGGUUUACUGGGUGUAAAGGGGGCGCAGACGGCAGCGCAAGCCAGGAGUGAAAGCCCGGGGCCCAACCCCGGGACUGCUCUUGGAACUGCGCGGCUGGAGUGCCGGAGG